CAAACAACUAAAUUGCGUACACAACUUUACAUUAUCAUAACUUCAACUAUCUAAUUUGCGUCGCUCUCGUGAUUCGUGAAGCAUAAUAAAGGGCAUAAUAUAAGGGUAUAAUACCAGCAAAAAAGGGCAUAAUUCCCGUGAUCGCUUAUUCGCUUCGAAGCCUGAUCAAUAUUCCGGUAAUGAGACAUUGCGUGUGAUCACUAAUCAUGUUUCUAUAUGAACGAGUGAUUUCGUGUGAAUCAUCAGUAGCAAAUACGGUUGGACAAAACAGUCUGCAAUUUAAUAUACUCACUUUGUCGCCUAUGCGCUUAGUCUGUUUAUAAGUCUAUAAACACAUCUUUCCUUGGCGGAAUUAGUAACUAUAUUUUUUCGAAUGCGUUUCUUCCCACCCACUUUCAAAAUUCGGCGCGGGAUCGGCGCCCCCUUUUCAUUUUUGCGCCCCCCAAAAAUUGCCAGCUGGGGGGCCGUGGCCCCCCGGCCCCCCCUGCCAGCACGCCACUGCCACUCGUCUUUGAUCAAAAUUACCUUUGCUUACCUCAGGAUGAAGUAAAAAUAGUUUUUUCUGAGAAUAGGCCCUUCCAAGGUUAAGGAUGCCGUCUUGAAUAUAUUGUUUUCACCAUUGUGUUUGUACCCCUUGCAAAUUUACCUCUCCUAUAGGGAAUUCCAUUGUGUUUGCACCCCUUGUACUAUUGUUUCAUUAUGGUAUUGUCAACCUUGGAAGGGUCUAUUGCUUUCAGUUAUGGAGACUUAACACCAUAUACUGAGUUGAUUUGAGUUCAUUAACCCUUUAAGUGGCAAUGUACCCCAUUGUGCCUUACUUUAGUAUUUUACUCUGUCUAAUGCCAGAUGAUUUUACUCAACAUCGGGUUUGAGCAAUUCAAACAGUGAUAGUACUUAAAAAAGGCCUGUGCUGUACAUAGUGAUAUCUCUCUUAUCAGGCAAACCCAGCUUUUGCAGGAAAAUCUCCCAUGUUUGAACCUCUUUCAACAUACUGCUCUUAUUAAUUUCAUUGGGAAAAAAAACAUAGGUGGGCAUGGCCAGGAACCAAUUAGAUCAUGUAUAUACAUUGUAAUAAAUUUUCAAAAAAUAUCAGAUUUUCUAAGAAGAUCUUUUCUUGCAGGCUAUUAAGAAAACAUGAAACGAAACAAGAUGAAAUGAAUAUUUAUUAAAUUACAGAUUGUGAUACAAAUUUAAUUGUGAUACAAAUUUAUCUAUUGUGUGGAUAUUACAAAAAGUUUAUAGGAUGUACAAAAUACUCUGCAAUGUACCAACAUCUGUCAUCAUAAUCAUAUCUUCAAGGUUGUAAAAGUAAUAUUGCAGAGAUCUGUAAAAAAUAUACUUUCAUUGUUAACUUAGAGGGAAAGAAGUAUUCUUUUGUGUAGCAGUGGGAUGGAUUUACUUGGGGGUAUUGGGGGAGGCGGUUCUUCGUGAAAUAAAGUAUUGGGUCUUUAUGACUUUAUAGACAACUUUGAUUUCCAAAAAUUGACAUGCCUGUCUGGGGUCCAUAGUGAUGAUGCAUCCUACCUCAGUUGUUGGUCAGGCCCUAACCUGCCAUCAGGCCUAUAAAUAAAUAAAUAGGCCUGAAACAAACCUAAACAAAAGUACAUGCCUUACAACCGUAUUUCAGUUGUAAAUCUGGUUGGUCUACGAGACAAAAGAUUUUUCAAUCUGUCAUUUGAUUGGUUGGUGUUAAUUAGAUUAUACUGUUGUUGUUGAUAUAUUUUAUAGUGAUCACAACUAUAAUCAGAUUGUUGUUGUCGUUGAGCAAAAUUUUAAUUUCUCCUGUUACAUUUUGAUUGGAUACUAAAUAUAAACUUUGUUGUGGGUAGAAAGUGAUUGGAUUAAGAUUUGUGUCAGGUUAUCCGUAUAAUACAGCCCAAUCUCAGGUUAGACCAGCCCGGGCUUAGCGACCCUCAUACCACAUCAAGUUAUAUGCAUGAGGGAAAGUAGGUUGUUUCAACUAUUAAUUUCACUUGCAAUUGUUACUUAUAUCCCAUGACAUUUUGGUUUCCAAUUACUUUAAUAUACUGUAUACAUAUACUGUAAACCUCCGAC
rnacentral:lncRNA from 1 species